UGGGGAAUAUUGCGCAAUGGGGGAAACCCUGACGCAGCGACGCCGUGUGAGGGAAGAAGGCUUUCGGGUCGUAAACCUCUGUCAGGAAGGAAGAACCUCUCAGGGCUGAACAAGCCCUGGGACUGACGGUACUUCCAGAGGAAGCACCGGCUAACUCCGUGCCAGCAGCCGCGGUAAUACGGAGGGUGCAAGCGUUAAUCGGAAUCACUGGGCGUAAAGCGCGCGUAGGCGGUCUUUUAAGUCGGACGUGAAAGCCCUCGGCUCAACCGGGGAAUUGCGUUCGNAACUGGGGGACUUGAGUCCUGGAGAGGGUGGCGGAAUUCCGGGUGUAGGAGUGAAAUCCGUAGAUAUCCGGAGGAACACCGGUGGCGAAGGCGGCCACCUGGACAGGUACUGACGCUGAGGCGCGAAAGCGUGGGGAGCAAACA
rnacentral:rRNA from 1 species